GUAGCCACUGCCAUCAGCGCCGACAUGGCGUAGCUGCUGACGCCAGCAUCACGCACAUAUCAUCACUUCUAGGACUUGGGUGACGGUUUCCUCAUGGGUUCCAUGUGUUUGUAUGUGCUGAAUUAGACCUUGUCCCUAGUGUUGACGUAUAAAUGAAGGAAGGGCGUCUCACGAAAGGGGGCCAUCGCAAGUUAUAGAACAGUUUGAGAGUGAAUACUGGCUCGACAACACGUACAUAAGGACCGAUCUGUGGACUUCUGUUAAAGGCCUUGACUGUUCCCGCUAUGCGUUUGACCGCAUUCAAAUAAAUUGAGAAGCGAGUACGA